CGAAAAUUUGAGGAUUAAAUCAAAGUCUGAAUACUCCAGGUUUCUGGUUGGGUUCAGAAAGCAAUUAUCUCAAAAUGUUCGUAACCUUCAGAUCUAUUUGGUUCCAGUCAGUUUCACGUGGUAAUUGUCAACCUCACACAUACAAAACAAGGUCAAGGGUAGGGCCUGAUUCCACCAGUGAACAUACUUGAGACAUUUUUAGAUUUAGAUGGUUUAUUACUUCCAUAGAUAGCAACAGAGAAGAAUAAGUGAAAGAUGUCUUCUCCCUGGGUCUGAUGAUUGCAAUGCGAGUUGUAGGAUACUCUAUUACUAAGGAGUCAAAUCUAGAUGGCAGCUAGUGCUUUUAUAUUCUGCAGGCCUAUCAUGAGGGGAGUGGGGCAGAAAGCCCCAUAUCUCAUCAAAACCUGGGAGGUGAUGAGAAACUAUGUCAUGACAGCCUCUUAGGAGAGAUAGAAAGGUGAGUGAGAGAUGCCUUUCUAGUAGCUCCUUAGACACCUCCCUUAAGGAUGACAAGGUGUUGUGCCAGGGCUCAGAUAAGUUGCAAUUCAAGCCUUUGCCUCUAUUGAUAUGUGUAAGCUUAUCAAUAGAGGAAGUCAUGGCAGAGCUGUUCUUCUACAGAAGUAGUCCCCUCCCUAGUUCUUUCCUAGACAUAAUUUUCAAACCUGAUUGCUAUCUUUGGCCCCAUACCUCUCUCUCUCUCUCUCAGUUGAUGGUGCCUACCUAGCUUGGGUGACAGGACCAUAUUCUUUAACUAGAUCUUUUCCACAUGGUCGGGUUGUAAUGGACAUUUGUUGCUCAAAACCUUUCUCAGGUUUAUCUCUUGUUUUUAGGACACAGAUGAAGUCAGCUUUUCCAACCUUGCAAAAUCUCACAUACUUGGUUUUUUUUUUUUUUUUUUUUUUUU
rnacentral:lncRNA from 1 species